GAUGAACGCUGGCGGCGUGCCUAAUACAUGCAAGUCGAGCGAACAGACGAGGAGCUUGCUCCUCUGACGUUAGCGGCGGACGGGUGAGUAACACGUGGAUAACCUACCUAUAAGACUGGGAUAACUUCGGGAAACCGGAGCUAAUACCGGAUAAUAUAUUGAACCGCAUGGUUCAAUAGUGAAAGACGGUUUUGCUGUCACUUAUAGAUGGAUCCGCGCCGCAUUAGCUAGUUGGUAAGGUAACGGCUUACCAAGGCGACGAUGCGUAGCCGACCUGAGAGAGUGAUAGGCGACACUGGAACUGGGACACGGUCCAGACUCCUACGGGAGGCAGCAGUAGGGAAUCUUCCGCAAUGGGCGAAAGCCUGACGGAGCAACGCCGCGUGAGUGAUGAAGGUCUUCGGAUCGUAAAGAUCUGUUAUUAGGGAAGAACAAAUGUGUAAGUAACUAUGCACGUAUUGACGGUAACUAAUCAGAAAGCAACGGCUAACUACGUG
rnacentral:rRNA from 1 species